rnacentral:hammerhead_ribozyme from 1 species
AUCUAGCUUAGAAGUCCCAAAUAGGACGAAACAUACGUCCUAGAU